GGCGGUAACCCUUCUGAGCUGAGAACGAAGGCAAGGGGGAGGAAGGCUGACGCCUUGUUAGCGGGGUGUUAAGCACUAGAGUGUGGCACUGUGCCUCAAAAUGUCAGCUAUGGUUCCGUAGGGUGUGAUGAGUGCUUUACCCGGUGCUCAUCUUCUACCCAGCCCACCUACCCUUGUGACAUGGGCCGCGCUCCCCCCGGCGCGGUCUAUGUCAAUUGUAUAUCACUCCUGAGCUA
rnacentral:siRNA from 1 species